rnacentral:tRNA from 1 species
UUUAAUGUGGUGUUUAAUGCAUUUUACAUUUUGGUUGUAAAGGUGAUUAGUUAUCCAUUAAA